CUGAAGAGCACAUUAUGCCAUCAAGAAAAUGCUCACUGCUGAAACAACACCACACGUGAACAGCAAACGGAAGAGUAAGGUAUCUGCAGUUCAAGCAGUGCAAAGGUGUUCCUUCUAGAUCGGAUGGAGCUUGGAAGUAUUUCAAGAGGUUGUAGCUCAGGUGCCCAUGGGCCAAAGGGCCUUCAUUGUUGCAAAAGAUGUGUCGCCGGCAGACGUUGCUGUGCAAGGUGCUGCUUCUAUUGUUCUUGCGCCAGCUGUCACCCAUCACACCGGCACCACUACGACUGGUUUUGCCACAAGCGUCUUGGUGUCCUGAUGUCGCAGGGAAUUGUUGUGUGACCGCAUCGUCAGCAAAGUAUGAAGCAUCAUCAUUUCCACCGCAUCCCCCUUUUGCAAUUCUGGAUGGCACAGCUUU